CUUGAACGCUGGCGGCAGGCCUAACACAUGCAAGUCGAGCGAGCGGCGGACGGGGGAGUAAUGUCUGGGAACCUGCCUGAUGGAUGGGGAUAACUACUGGAAACGGUAUCUAAUACAGCAUACCAUCAGAUGUGCCCAGGUGGGAUUAGCUAGUAGUUGGGGUAACGGCUCACCUAGGCGACGAUCCCUAGCUGGUCUGAGAGGCUGACCAGCCACACUGGAACUGAGACACGGUCCAGACUCCUACGGGAGGCAGCAGUGGGGAAUAUUGCACAAUGGGCGCAAGCCUGAUGCAGCCAUGCCGCGUGUGUGAAGAAGGCCUUCGGGUUGUAAAGCACUUUCAGCGGGGAGGCGUUACCCGCAGAAGAAGCACCGGCUAACUCCGUGCCAGCAGCCGCGGUAAUAC
rnacentral:rRNA from 1 species